AAGUCGCAGCUGGAUUCAACUCCCUCUCAUGCAACGUCACAUGUGACGUGGUUAUGGUAUUUAUGGUGGCAGGUCGCCCAUUGGGCGACCGAAGCGCAAUGCACAAUACAGUCGGAGGUGUAUGCGCUUUGCGCUUGGAAGUUGUCACGCGCGACGUCGUAAUGUCUGAUAGCAAAUUUAGCGAUAGUGACGGGUCCCUGUCACUAAGCGGUGAAGAUGAGCUCAUCGGCGCCGAUCGAUUGAAGAACCGGGGACGUCGAUGAACCUUUAGCUACUGACCCUUUGCCACAACAACGUGGUUAGCCAGUGAAAGUAGUGGAUGAUUCGGAAUCGAUUGACGGGUGUGUGUGUAGCCACUGCUCGCCAAUACCAGCGUUGUGCGCACAAUCCGGAACCUGUUUCGAUCCGUCACGUACACAUGGUGUUGUAUUCUCCUGAAAGGUGUUGUAAGACUUGGGCAUUUCGUCAUAUGUAUCAGAACUUGGAUAGACUGCUGAAAAAAGCUGCUCUCUCUAUCCAUUCCCGCAAGCGGCAGGAGGUUGUCAACGUGAUAAGUGAAGGCUUUCCAUUCAUGUCAUUACACCUGGAGCAAAUGACAAAAUCAAGGAUAACCUGAUCUACGUCAACGUCUUCAAUUACCCCUGGCCUAUGAAAAAAAAAGCCCUUUUCAGGACCAUCCAACAUAUCUGCAUCAAAGACCAUGCUUCUGCAUCGAAUAAGCCCUUAUCAUCAUUGAUGAUUAUAAUAUUUCAUAUCAAAAAUACCUAGACGUGCAUUACGAAUGUGCAAGAUGGAACAGCCUUAUUUUUGCUCAUGUUACACCGGUGUGUUCAUGAGCCCAUACUGGCUCACAUUUCGAUUCGAUAUCAGGGGUUGCAAACUAACAUGAUCAGCACGUUGAAUACGAAACAUGUGUAAAUGUUUAAAAAAUAUGAAAAAUACCUAGAUGUGCACGACAAAUUUGUAAGAUGGAA